rnacentral:tRNA from 1 species
AUGGGCGUGGCGGAAUUGGUAAACGCUUUUGUUGCAACAAAUACUUUCAGAUAGGUCGAAUGCGAAAGUCCUGAAAGAUGCAGGUUCAAACCCUGUCGCCCAUG